rnacentral:rRNA from 1 species
CUGGCUCAGGAUGAACGCUAGCGACAGGCUUAACACAUGCAAGUCGAGGGGCAGCAUAAAAGUAGCAAUACUUGGUGGCGACCGGCGCACGGGUGAGUAACGCGUAUGCAAACCUACCUAUCAGAGGGGAAUAACCCGGCGAAAGUCGGACUAAUACCGCAUAAAACAGGGGCACCGCAUGGUGAUAUUUGUUAAAGAAAUUCGCUGAUAGAUGGGCAUGCGUUCCAUUAGGUAGUUGGUGAGGUAACGGCUCACCAAGCCAACGAUGGAUAGGGGAACUGAGAGGUUGGUCCCCCACACUGGUACUGAGACACGGACCAGACUCCUACGGGAGGCAGCAGUGAGGAAUAUUGGUCAAUGGGCGGGAGCCUGAACCAGCCAAGUCCGCGUGAAGGAAGAAGGAUCUAUGGUUCGUAAACUUCUUUUGCAGGGGAAUAAAGUGCAGGACGUGUCCCGUUUUGUAUGUACCCUGAGAAUAAGGAUCGGCUAACUCCGUGCCAGCCGCCGC